CAGAAGCGAAAUUUUAAAAGAAAACGAAUAUCAGAAGUGACAGCCAAGAUCCUAGGCCAACUUCAACAAAACUGGCGGAAGAACUACCGGAAGAAAUAAAUACAUCCUGCUGCACAAUCGGGAUCUGAGAAGCCCAAGCCCUCGUACUUCGACCAUGAUUGAAACGAAUUCGAUCCGCCGGUGGGAAGACACUGCGACGAUGAUGAUCCUAGAGGUGCAUUUCCGACGAGAGUUCAGAAUAUUUAUGGGUACUUGGUUCACUCAUAUAUGGGUAAAUUCAAUUGUGUCAAUAUUAUUAGUAGAAUUUACCCAAAAAAUUGGUAAAAUUGACUGAUAUUCUGAACAAAACUGACUUUACCUACAUUUGAGUAAUUGACUUCACCCAUAUUUGGGUGAAAAAAUUAACACAAACAAUAUUUCUGAAGUGAUGGCCACGCGCGUCAAUGUUGCAAAAUUUCUUAAAUUUCUCAAUUUUUAUUUAUCUUUAAUUCAAAUUCAAAAACCGCUGAUGAAGUUCCGAGUGCAGUUCUUCACACAUGAAGAUAUAUGGAGAUUGCAACUUCCCGACGAUCUGUUCCAGUCCCGAUUAGCAGCGCCAUAUCGACCUCCUUGCAGGUGACGAUCGACGAAGGCAGAUGGCAAGAACGGGCACUAGUUCCAGGGGAAGAACUUCUGCUCAGACGAGUAUCACCCCAAACUACUUGCUUCGGCAUCGAUCUUCCUCCAGCAACCCAGAUGAACCCGUUUCAAAAAAGCUUCAAGCGAACGCAAAAACCGGAUGAUACCUCGCCUUGUUGUUUCCGAUCGUCAGCUUUGAAGUGGCCGCGAUGGCGAAAAGAACAGCAACAGAUCGAAUUAAGUGCCAAAGGAGAAGGAAAAAUCGAAACGACGGUGCCGACGGAGCAACCUGAGCGCGGAAGGGGAUGUUGUUGCUUUUUGUAUAUUCAGCUAAGCUUGAACACACGCCAGGAAAAAUUAAGUCUCCAGCCGCCAGACUAUUUUGAUCCUAUUUUUCCGGCAAAUCCCCGUCAUCGUCAUCUUCAUCAUCGACGUUGUCAUCGGUAUGAUUGGCCUGAAACUAUGAACACAAAGACCGGACCCAACAAUAGGCCAUCUCAUUGCGAAAGCGGUCUCCUCCGUAUUGAGUGGGGGAAACAAUAAUCCGCAUGAUGGCCUCGUCGUCGGUCGGCUCGGCUCUUCAAGUUUGCCCGAAAGUAUUUACCUUUUUGCAGGAUAAAAGAACUAAUUUGUUUUGCUAUCAACUGGUGUUGCUGUUGAAUUAACACCCGGACUGCAGAUUAUUUUGAAUAAUUUGAUCUUGUUGCGGUUUGUCGCAACCAACAACAUAUUUGUCUGGAACAAGCUGUCACCAGUUCCGGAAUGGCAUGCCGUAAAACUUUAUCAUCAGUUAUAACUAGUGUGUGUACCAAUGCUUGCUGAGAUUACGUGCAUUUCAACAUACUGACCCAAAGCGGCUGCUUAAGGAUGUUCCUGCCGUCCAAGAUUACUUCCAUCUGUUCCUGCUGUUGAUAAUCCAGCAAAAGUGCAACAUGAUUAUUUAAUUUAUGUAAUUCAAUUGUAUGUUUUAUAAAAAA